rnacentral:rRNA from 1 species
UGGGGAAUAUUGGGCAAUGGGCGAAAGCCUGACCCAGCAACGCCGCGUGAAGGAAGAAGGUCUUCGGAUUGUAAACUUCUUUUAUGAGGGACGAAGAACGUGACGGUACCUCAUGAAUAAGCCACGGCUAACUACGUGCCAGCAGCCGCGGUAAUACGUAGGUGGCAAGCGUUAUCCGGAUUUACUGGGUGUAAAGGGCGCGUAGGCGGGGAUGCAAGUCAGAUGUGAAAUCUAUGGGCUCAACUCAUAAACUGCAUUUGAAACUGUAUCUCUUGAGUGCUGGAGAGGUAGAUGGAAUUCCUUGUGUAGCGGUGAAAUGCGUAGAUAUAAGGAAGAACACCAGUGGCGAAGGCGAUCUACUGGACAGUAACUGACGCUGAGGCGCGAGAGCGUGGGGAGCAAACAGG